ACCAUGGCCUGGGCCCUGUUUCUCCUCACACUUCUCAGCUACUGCUCAGGUGCCAGUUCACAGCCAACCUUGACUCAGCCUCCCUCACAGUCUGUGUCUCUCGGACAAAUGGUGAAACUGUCCUGCCCUGUCAGCAGAAGAGAUCAUCCCACCGAUUGGUUUCAGCAGAGAUCUGGAGAGAGACCCCGCUUCAUACAGCGUGCAGGGGGUAACCGGGGAGAAGGGGUCCCGGACAGGUUCACGGCCUCUGAUUCUGGGAAUGUCGGCUACUUGACCAUCCUGAAUGUCCAGGCAGAAGACGAGGGCUACUAUUACUGUGGCAUGUUUUAUGAUAGCAGCAACUGGAAGUAUCACAGUGGUGAAGUCUGA